UAUGAGGACAGAGCCAGAAAAUAUGUGUUAAAGAACCAUCUGCACUUUUGCAUCUGUCACAUAAUGGAGAAAUAGCUGGGUAGAUUCGAUGUCAUUUGGUCUUUGAGUAAUGGAGUCUGUGGAUGACUUUAAACUGGAUCAGUUUAUACCUGACAUUGAUCGAACAAGUUUGGAUUCUGGUCAGACCUUCAUUCCAAAUGUCGUCAGACACCUCGAAAUUCAGCUCAGUAGACCAGGCUUUUUUCAGAUGGGUAGUGGAUACAGAGGUGGUGAAUAGACUCACAAAGCGAGAUAUUAGAUGUUUGGAGUCUGGAGGAAGCUGCAGGAGCUCAUAGAGUGGGCAACUGUCAGGCAUGGUUUGAAAAUUUGGAAUUUGAUCUUUAACGUAGUGCCUAAUUUGGAGAUAGCGAAAAAAAUGAGAGUUGGAAAGGUUAAAUUUUGAUUUCAGCUGAUUAAACAAAGCAAACUUUUUGUCAAUAUAUAGAUCUCUGAGG